rnacentral:misc_RNA from 1 species
GGUUAGAUAAGUUAAUUAAUCAAAAUUUAAUAAUUAUUUUUUACCCAUUUAGGAUUGAAUAGUCAUUAUAAAAAUAAUAAAAUAUAAAUAAAGUGAUAAAACAAUAAAUUAAGCAUAAAAUGAAUCUUAUUUUAAUAUUAAAUUUCUGUGAAAUGUUUAAUGUAUAUGGCCUGCAAUACAAUGAGACAGUGGUAAUAAAAUAAAUUAAUAAAAAUAAAUAAUUAUAUGUAUUUUUAUAUUUUAUUUAUUAUAAUAAUUGAAAGAGA